rnacentral:rRNA from 1 species
UGGGGAAUCUUCCACAAUGGACGAAAGUCUGAUGGAGCAACGCCGCGUGAGUGAAGAAGGCUUUCGGGUCGUAAAACUCUGUCUUCAGGGACGAAUGUACUUCUCGUGAAUAAUGAGAGGUAAUGACGGUACCUGAGGAGGAAGCCACGGCUAACUACGUGCCAGCAGCCGCGGUAAUACGUAGGUGGCAAGCGUUGUCCGGAAUUAUUGGGCGUAAAGCGCGCGCAGGCGGGAAAUCAAGUCCGAUUUAAAAGUGCGGAGCUCAACUCCGUGAGGGGUCGGAAACUGAUUUUCUUGAGUGCAGGAGAGGAAAGUGGAAUUCCCAGUGUAGCGGUGAAAUGCGUAGAGAUUGGGAGGAACACCAGUGGCGAAGGCGACUUUCUGGACUGUGUCUGACGCU